rnacentral:rRNA from 1 species
AUUGAACGCUGGCGGCAGGCUUAACACAUGCAAGUCGAGCGGGGGAAGGUAGCUUGCUACCGGACCUAGCGGCGGACGGGUGAGUAAUGCUUAGGAAUCUGCCUAUUGGUGGGGGACAACAUCUCGAAAGGGAUGCUAAUACCGCAUACGUCCUACGGGAGAAAGCAGGGGAUCUUCGGACCUUGCGCUAAUAGAUGAGCCUAAGUCGGAUUAGCUAGUUGGUGGGGUAAAGGCCUACCAAGGCGACGAUCUGUAGCGGGUCUGAGAGGAUGAUCCGCCACACUGGGACUGAGACACGGCCCAGACCCCUACAGGAGGCAGCAGUGGGGAAUAUUGGACAAUGGGGGGAACCCUGAUCCAGCCAUGCCGCGUGUGUGAAGAAGGCCUUAUGGUUGUAAAGCACUUUAAGCGAGGAGGAGGCUACUCUAGUUAAUACCUAGGGAUAGUGGACGUUACUCGCAGAAUAAGCACCGGCUAACUCUGUGCCAGCCGCCGCGGUAA